UACAGAGGGUGCGAGCGUUGUUCGGAAUUAUUGGGCGUAAAGCGCAUGUAGGCGGUCUGUUAAGUCGCGUGUGAAAGCCCCAGGCUCAACCUGGGAAGUGCGCGCGAAACUGGCGGACUUGAGUGCUGGAGAGGGUGGCGGAAUUCCCGGUGUAGAGGUGAAAUUCGUAGAUAUCGGGAGGAACACCAGAGGCGAAGGCGGCCACCUGGACAGACACUGACGCUGAGACGCGAAAGCGUGGGGAGCAAAGCAGG
rnacentral:rRNA from 1 species